ACCCUAACCGUGGGCAGCCAUCAACAGUAAAAGGAAGAGAGGAAAAAGAAGAAGAAGAAGAAAAGAGAAGGAAGAAGAAGAGGAGAGAGAAAUAGUAAGGGAACUCACCUGUCUCAGGCAGCUAUUAGACCAAGCUUGCAGCCAAGGAAUCUGAUUUGCAAUGUGGAAACCUACCCAACCUAGAAGGGAGAUCUUUGUAAUCUUGUAUAUCAAGAUUGUGGAAUUGGUGCUGAGGCAGGAUUGGAUUUCAGCGGCGGUUCUGAGGCUUGUGUCUACAAGACACUAGGAUGUUGAUGGAGUUCACUUUUGUUAUGUUAGUCAUACCUUUUGAUGUGAAUAAUUAUGAAAUAUGUAGUAAGUAAUAUUGAAUUUGUGGUUGUUUAAAGACAUGAAAAUUUGUAUAAUGUAAUUUAUCAUUUUAGUACAUCUCCAGUGAUAUUUGUAUGAUUUUAUUAAUGUAUUUUGAUUUUAGUUGUGAUC